rnacentral:misc_RNA from 1 species
AUGAAGUCGAUCUUCGUCCUCACCACGGUGCUGGUCCUGACCACGUGCAACACUCUGUACGAAAGCGGCCAGAAACCUCACAUCGUGAUCAUCAUGGCGGACGACAUGGGCUGGAACGACGUCGGAUUCCACGGAUCGAACCAGAUCCCCACGCCCAACAUUGACGCGCUGGCCUACGGAGGGAUCAUCCUUAACCGGCACUACACCGCGCCGAUGUGCACUCCGUCGAGGGCGGCCAUUAUGACGGGGCGGAAUCCGAUCAGUGUCGGAAUGCAGCAUUACGUGAUCGAUUCCGACGAGCCGUGGGGCCUCGGGCUGGACCAGAAGAUUAUGCCGGAAUACUUCCGGGAGGCCGGAUAUAGGACACAUUUGGUGGGGAAGUGGCACUUAGGGUUCUUUGCCCAGCAGUACACUCCCACGAUGAGAGGAUUUGACUCUCAUGUUGGAUAUCUUGGACCAUUUAUAGAUUUCUGGGAUUUUUCCAAUAAAAUGUCUUCAACCAACUACACCGGCUACGACAUGCGGCAUAAUUUGGCGGUGGAUUACGAUGCCAAUGGAACCUACGCAACGGAUCAUUUUACGGACGCGGCCAGUCGGAUCAUCGACAAGCACAACCCGAGUGAACCUCUGUUUCUGAUGGUGAACCAUUUGGCGCCCCAUACCGGAAACGAUAACGAUCCGUUGCAGGCUCCGGAGGAACGCAUUAAGAAGUUUGAACAUAUUUCUGAUGAGAAUCGAAGGAUUUAUGCAGCAAUGGUUUCAAAGCUCGACGACAGCGUUGGCGCUAUUUUCAAGAGCUUGCGCGCCAAGAACAUGAUCCAGAACUCGAUCAUCCUGUUUAUCUCGGACAACGGCGCCCCGUCCUUUGGACUGCACUCCAACAGCGGUUCCAACUUCCCACUAAGAGGACAAAAGAACUCCCCAUGGGAAGGAGCGACCCGUAACGUAGCCGCCAUCUGGAGUCCACUGCUCGAGGAACGUCAACGGGUUUCGAACCAAUACAUUCACAUCUCAGAUUGGCUGCCGACCUUUGCCUCGAUCGCCGGCAUUCGACUGCCUCAAGCGAGAAACAGUUCCGAAGUUGACGGCGUUGAUCAGUGGGAAGCGCUGUCUUAUGAUACCGGGUACCCAAGAAGAGUGAUCUUGAACAUGAUCGACGAGAUCUUCGGGUACAGCAGCUAUAUGGAGAAUGGGUUCAAGUACGUCAACGGAACCACGGGUGGUGGUAAUUUUGAUGGGUGGUACGGUCAGCUGAACAACGAAGAUCCUCACCCAAGUGACGAAGAGUACAUCAAGACAGUACUGGAAACGGAGAUCGCCCAAUUAUCCGGUGAUGUCCUGUCCAGCGAACUCAUCAAACAUCUCAGGAAGCACUCUCGUGUGGUCUGCCACAAACCCCUUCACCCAACCACUUGCAACCCGUUGAAACGGGCCUGCCUGUUUGACAUCGUCAACGAUCCGUGUGAACUCAACGACAUCUCGGCCCGCGAACCAUUCAAGUUCCGUGAGCUUCGCACCAAAGUCGAGACCCUGCGCCGCCUCGCGAAGAAACCUCGCAACAAACCGCACGACCCUGCCGGCAAUCCGGCCAACCACGGCGGCGUCUGGACCUGGUGGCGCAAGGACAUCUCCGCGCAGGAACUCGCCGACAUCCGAGCAGACGAAUCGGAGCGCUAUCCGGAGAUUCCGCCGCCCCACUCGAGCCUGCCCGAGGACGUCCAACUGACCGUCCACGAAAAGCAAGCAAACUGCGACGAUUUCGACGAUCGGAAGUGCGGGUUUGUCCCAUUCCGUCGACGACAGUAGCAGCAGCGACGGCAAACUGUCGGACGUGUUUGGGCAAGCCUCGUCGAGCUCGAAUCAGAAGGACCUUACGAACAAUUACAAAAGACAUGGAUCUCGCUGUGAAUACACAUACGUACUUAAAA